GACAGAGGGUGCAAACGUUGUUCGGAAUUACUGGGCGUAAAGCGAGUGUAGGCGGUGUGGUAAGUCGGAUGUGAAAGCCCCGGGCUCAACCCGGGAAGUGCACUCGAUACUGCCACGCUAGAGUAUCGGAGAGGUUGGUGGAAUUCUCGGUGUAGAGGUGAAAUUCGUAGAUAUCGAGAGGAACACCGGUGGCGAAGGCGGCUCACUGGUCCGGUACUGACGCUGAGGUGCGAAAGCGUGGGGAGCAAACAGG
rnacentral:rRNA from 1 species